UGGCAGGCAGCCCCUUUCCGUCCACCUGUACGGAGCACCAGCUCCCUGUACCGAGGCCAGCCUCACUUUAACAGGCAGAGGAAACUCUUCCUCCAGGUCAAGGUCAGGACAAGGAGGAAGACCAGAGCAACAGGGCAGAACUGAACAAAGAUCAAAACACCAGGGCCUUGGCCUCCUACAAGAACCACAUCAAAGGCUCACUCUCAACCCCCAUGGACAAGAAAAUAAUUCUAAUUACAAUUUCCACCAGCAUUGUGUUAAGAAGCUGCUUUUCCUUUUCAACAACAAGAUCCCCUCAGAUCAGCACCUCUCACCCCCUCAUACAGAAUGGGGUGGAUUUGAACUCAUGGCACCCUGACAACACCAUCCCCCCAACCCCACAAAAGUCACUCCUUAUCCUGAAAACUGCAUAAGGUAAGGUGCUGUUGGACCUCAGAUCAAGGAGGAGACAAUGCAAUGAAAUAGAAUCCUGCUCAACUCUUGUUUAUGAUGGUGCUGGGCAUUAAACCUGUAAUCUCAGAGCCUCAGAUAUGCAUAACCACUCUGCUAUCACCCCAGCCCUGCAAUAACUGUUUUAAAUAACUAUUUUAACC